UACGUAGGGGGGCGAGCGUUGUCCGGAAUCACUGGGCGUAAAGGGCGCGUAGGCGGCGAGGAUAGUCAACGGUGAAAGCUUGGGGCUCAACCCCGAGUCGGCCGUCGAUACUUCCUUGCUUGAGCACUGUAGAGGCAGAUGGAAUUCCGGGUGUAGCGGUGGAAUGCGUAGAGAUCCGGAAGAACACCGGUGGCGAAGGCGGUCUGCUGGGCAGUAGCUGACGCUGAUGCGCGACAGCGUGGGGAGCAAACAGG
rnacentral:rRNA from 1 species